GCAACAACUUUCUCCCUUUCUUGCCAAACUAGUCAGCAGUCUGGCAGUUUGGUUUUUGCAAUGAAUCAGAAUGUAUGUGCCAGGCCAUUUGCACCAUCUGCUACAGGAGUGUCAUCAGAGAGAGGACUGUGGACACCUGGUGGGUUGACGUUGAAAUGUCAGCUCGAGGGUAAACACCAGCUCCACUGAUGAAAGGCCAAGAAAGCAAAAAGCCUGGAAGGAGAAGAAGCUGCUGGUAACAGCAAAAAAGGCACACCUGUUUCUGAACUGGCAGGAAGGUAAAGGAACAUUGCUGUGACCUAGAAGAAGCUAAAAAGCUGGAAGCAGUGUAACCUUAAAUAGCCACGUAUGCAACAUGGAGUUAAUGACACAGACCUCAUGGGGCUCUUGAGGAGUAAGAGAAGGCUCUGUGGGAGAAGGUAGAACAUCCACUUGCCAGAGUUGGCCUCUCCAAACCAUCCUCCCACCCCUGGAGUCGGA